ensembl:lncRNA LINC02004 long intergenic non-protein coding RNA 2004
AUUCCGGCCGGCGCAGGAAUGUGAGCAGGGUGUUCACUGCGCGCUCUGAGCGCACAAGUUUGUUCUCCUCUCCUUGGAGAACGCCGGCCCGCUCUGUGCCACCCUCUCCCCAAGCCCCCGAGCCCCUCUAGAGAUCCCACCACUCCGCCCUCUUGGAAAGAACAUUCAGUGUCUCCCACACCAGAACCCAUCCAAGGAGAGAGGAUGCCGAGGUAGUGGCUCAUCUUCCUUGGUCCCAGAGAGGCCUCGGAGCAGUCCUCUCUUGCUUCACAGCCCUCCAACUAUGCUAAGAAUGCGAACCAUUUCCCAUGGGACUGGCAAAGCCAUGAAGCAAUUCUGAGCCCAACCUCCCCAAAUAUCUGCUUUGCAAACAGAUAAAACAGAGAAGUAUCCUGAAAAUGUGCUGUUGGGCCAUUCACCUUAGGCGGUUGUGGUGUCUGCUUGCCUGCCAGGAGGGUUUCUGCUUCCACAGUCCAGCCUGGAGCUGCUGGGGAGCCAGUUUGGGAUGUGGCCAUGUUCCCUGAGGGGCAAAACACAGAAAACUCUCCGGAAGGGGCUUCUCAAGGAAAUGGGGACCAAGCAAGGCUGUGGGCUCUUUUCAGGGAUCCGGCUCCCAUCCCAGUGCUGGACUCAUUGCUGACCAGUCCUUGGGGUCACCUGGGUGCCCUUUGGCUCCUGAGAUGUCUGGGCAUGGGGCUGCCUUCACCAGCUGCAAGAGCCCAAACCCACCUCAACCAGCCUUUGGCAUCUCCAGUCUGCACCAGCUGCAAUUUUGUGGCCCGGGUGGGUGAAGGCAGUGGCAGGGGAGUCCAUGCCAAGCCUGGCAGUGGGAAGGAAGAGGAAGAGGAAGAGGACUUAACUUUCUCAGCAGCUUCAGCCUUCUGAGAAACUCUAGAAUGCCUUGCUGCACUAUGGCAGGCAUAACCAGGUCCCGGUGACCUACAUAACCUUCCAGACAUGGGGCAAGUGGGAGCCCUGAUUCAUGUCAGGGGAGCCUGACAGAGGAAGGGUGGGGGCAGGGAGGAUUUACAAUCCUGAGACGGUGAAACCACCUAAAUAUUUAGUGAUGACUAAGUGAGUCACCGCAUGUCCACAGGGUGGAAUAUUAUGUAAAAGUGAUUAUUAUAAUAAUAAAGACUAUUUAGCAAUA